rnacentral:rRNA from 1 species
UGAGGAACAUGACCUUCGGCGGGGGAUAGCCGGCCCAACGGCCGGGUAAUACCGCGUACGCCCUUCGAGCGGCAUCGCUUGAUGGGGAAAGUCGCAAGACGCCGAUGGAGAACUUCGCGGCCUAUCAGCUAGUUGGUGAGGUCAUGGCUCACCAAGGCGACGACGGGUAGCUGGUCUGAGAGGAUGGCCAGCCACAUUGGGACUGAGACACGGCCCAGACUCCGUAGGGAGG